AUGGAGGGUCCUUACUUUCCCGCUGGCCGGCCUAGAAGGGGUUUCUUUAAUGGUGCAACGAAUUACCAUCGCUUCAAAGUUGAUAUGUAUGUGAGUGUCAUUGAUAGGCAAAUUAGUGAGUUGAAUGGCAGAUUUGAUGAGGUAAACAUAGAUCUACUUUCUUGCAUGGCAGCAUUUUGUCCACUUCGUCUAUUUGCUGCUUAUGAUCAAGAGAAAUUGGUUAGGCUUGCUACAAAGUUUUAUGCUAAUGAUUUCACAAGUGAUGAACUGGCAAGACUUCCAUGGCAACUAAACAUGUAUGUUACUCAUGUGCGUAGAGAUGAAAGGUUUCAAAACUUGAAGAAUCUGUGUGAGCUUUCCGUUAUGCUUGUCGAGACAAACAAGCAUGAACAAUACUAUAUUGUUUACAAGCUUCUUAAGUUGGUAUUAAUUUUGCCAGUAGCUACUGCUAGUGUUGAAAGGGUGUUCUCUUCAAUGAACUAUGUGAAGAAUAAGCUAAGGAGCAAAAUGGGUGAUGAUUACUUGAACAAUUGUUUGGUUACAUUUGUUGAGAGAGAAUUCUUCAAUCAAGUAAAGGAUGAGGAUGUCAUCAAUCUCUUCCAAAAAGGCGAUCGCAAAGUUAUAUUGUAA
rnacentral:rRNA from 1 species